rnacentral:rRNA from 1 species
UGAAUACGAGACGCUAAGGCGUCGAAGUAGUGUAUGUCAUACUUCCAAGAAAAGCUUGCACUGUCAUAGAUAAAAAACGCCUGUACCAUAACCGACACAGGUGGGUAGGUAGAGUAUACUAAGGGGCGCGAGAUAACUCUCUCUAAGGAACUCGGCAAAAUAACUCCGUAACUUCGGGAGAAGGAGUGCCUUAUUCGUAAGGUUGCAAUAACAAGAUCCAAGCAACUGUUUAUCAAAAACACAGGUCUCCGCUAAGUCGUAAGACGAUGUAUGGGGGCUGACGCCUGCCCAGUGCCAGAAGGUUAAAGAAGUUGGUUAGCAAUUGCGAAGCUGAUAACUGAAGCCCUGGUGAACGGCGGCCGUAACGAUAACGGUCCUAAGGUAGCGAAAUUCCUUGUCGGGUAAGUUCCGACCCGCACGAAAGGCGUAAUGAUUUGGAUACUGUCUCGGAGAGGGGCUCGGUGAAAUAGACUUGUCUGUGAAGAUGCGGACUACCUGCACCAGGACAGAAAGACCCUAUGAAGCUUUACUGUAACUUGAAAUUGAAAUAGGACUUUAUUCGCGCAGUAUAGGUGGGAGGCGUUGAUUAUAAUCUUGUGGGAUUAUUGGAGCCAUCAGUGAGAUACCACUCUUGUAAUGUUAGAUUUCUAACUUUGAAUCAUUAUCUGGUCAAAGAACAGUUUCAGGCGGGCAGUUUGACUGGGGCGGUCGCCUCCUAAACGGUAGCGGAGGCGUACAAAGGUUUCCUCUGAACGGUUAGAAAUCGUAUCUAGAGUGUAAAGGCAUAAGGAAGCUUGACUGUGAGACCUACAAGUCGAGCAGGGACGAAAGUCGGUCUUAGUGAUCUGACGGUACUGAGUGGAAAGGCCGUCACUCAACGGAUAAAAGUUACUCUAAGGAUAACAGGCUGAUCCCCCCCAAGAGUUCACAUCGACGGGGAGGUUUGGCACCUCGAUGUCGGCUCAUCGCAUCCUGGGGCGGUAGUACGUCCCAAGGGUUGGGCUGUUCGCCCAUGAAAGCGGUACGCGAGCUGGGUUCAGAACGUCGUGAGACAGUUCGGUCCAUAUCCGGUGUAGGCGUUAGAAUAUUGAGAGGAGCCUUCUUUAGUACGAGAGGACCGAGAAGGACAUACCUCUGGUGUACCAGUUAUCGUGCCAACGGUAAACGCUGGGUAGCUAUGUAUGGAGUGGAUAACCGCUGAAAGCAUCUAAGUGGGAAGCCCACCUCAAGAUAAGUAUUCUCAC